rnacentral:tRNA from 1 species
GGUUUUAUAGUUUAUAAAAAUAUUAAGUUGCAAACUUUAAGAUACAAUUGUCAAUUGUUAAAACUU